rnacentral:rRNA from 5 species
UGGGGAAUAUUGCACAAUGGGGGAAACCCUGAUGCAGCGACGCCGCGUGAAGGAAGAAGUAUCUCGGUAUGUAAACUUCUAUCAGCAGGGAAGAUAGUGACGGUACCUGACUAAGAAGCCCCGGCUAACUACGUGCCAGCAGCCGCGGUAAUACGUAGGGGGCAAGCGUUAUCCGGAUUUACUGGGUGUAAAGGGAGCGUAGACGGUGUGGCAAGUCUGAUGUGAAAGGCAUGGGCUCAACCUGUGGACUGCAUUGGAAACUGUCAUACUUGAGUGCCGGAGGGGUAAGCGGAAUUCCUAGUGUAGCGGUGAAAUGCGUAGAUAUUAGGAGGAACACCAGUGGCGAAGGCGGCUUACUGGACGGUAACUGACGUUGAGGCUCGAAAGCGUGGGGAGCAAACAGG